AUUGAACGCUGGCGGCAUGCCUUACGCAUGCAAGUCGAACGGUAACAGGUCUUCGGAUGCUGACGAGUGGCGAACGGGUGAGUAAUACAUCGGAACGUGCCCGAUCGUGGGGGAUAACGGAGCGAAAGCGUUGCUAAUCCCGCAUACGAUCUACGGAUGAAAGCAGGGGACCGCAAGGCCUGGCGCGAACGGAGCGGCCGAUGGCAGAUUAGGUAGUAGGUGGGAUAAAAGCUUACCAAGCCGACGAUCUGUAGCUGGUCUGAGAGCACGCCCCGCCACACUGGGACCGAGACACGGCCCAGACUCCUGCGGGAGUCAUCAGUGGGGAAUUUUGGACAAUGAGCGCAAGCCUGAUCCAGCAAUGCCCCGUGCAGGAUGAAGGCCUUCGGGUUGUAAACUGCUUUUGUACGGAACGAAAAGGCUCUUGUUAAUACCUGGGGCUCAUGACGGUACCGUAAGAAUAAGCACCGGCUAACUCCGUGCCAGCAGCCGCCGUAAAAC
rnacentral:rRNA from 1 species